GAUGAACGCUGGCGGCGUGCCUAAUACAUGCAAGUCGAGCGAACGGACGAGGAGCUUGCUCCUCUGAUGUUAGCGGCGGACGGGUGAGUAACACGUGGAUAACCUACCUAUAAGACUGGGAUAACUUCGGGAAACCGGAGCUAAUACCGGAUAAUAUUUUGAACCGCAUGGUUCAAUAGUGAAAGACGGUUUUGCUGUCACUUAUAGAUGGAUCCGCGCCGCAUUAGCUAGUUGGUAAGGUAACGGCUUACCAAGGCAACGAUGCAUAGCCGACCUGAGAGGGUGAUCGGCCACACUGGAACUGAGACACGGUCCAGACUCCUACGGGAGGCAGCAGUAGGGAAUCUUCCGCAAUGGGCGAAAGCCUGACGGAGCAACGCCGCGUGAGUGAUGAAGGUCUUCGGAUCGUAAAACUCUGUUAUUAGGGAAGAACAAAUGUGUAAGUAACUAUGCACGUCUUGACGGUACCUAAUCAGAAAGCCACGGCUAACUACGUG
rnacentral:rRNA from 1 species